UACGUAGGGGGCAAGCGUUGUCCGGAAUUAUUGGGCGUAAAGAGCUUGUAGGCGGUUUGUCGCGUCUGCUGUGAAAUCUCAAGGCUCAACCUUGAGCUUGCAGUGGGUACGGGCAGACUAGAGUGUGGUAGGGGAGACUGGAAUUCCUGGUGUAGCGGUGAAAUGCGCAGAUAUCAGGAGGAACACCGAUGGCGAAGGCAGGUCUCUGGGCCACUACUGACGCUGAGAAGCGAAAGCAUGGGGAGCGAACAGG
rnacentral:rRNA from 1 species